AAGUCGUAACAAGGUUUCCGUAGGUGAACCUGCGGAAGGAUCAUUAAAGAAUUAGGCUUCGCGGCCAAGUUCUCACCCUUUGUAUGCCGAAACCAUGUUGCUUUGGAGCCCAGUGCCCAUUUGCUCAUUCGGCUGCCAGGACGGCAUUAGUUAAACCUAACGAAAUCUCUGCUGUCUGAGUACUAUACAAUAGUUAAAA
rnacentral:misc_RNA from 1 species